GACGAGGUUGCCGAGUGGUUAAGGGGAUGGACUGCUAAUCCAUUUGCUGCUUUUGCGCACGCGUGGGUUCGAAUCCCAUCCUCGUCG